rnacentral:lncRNA from 10 species
GCAUCCCUGGCUCAACUCACCCCAGGCUCACCUCAUCUCCGGCUCACCCUACCCCUGGCUCACCCUAUCCCUGGUCACCACAGCCACAGGUCACCGCAGACACAGGUCACCCCUAUUCUGCACUUGGUGUUGCCUCAGCCCAGAGGUUUCCUGGGGGAUGUGUCCCCGGCACCACAGGCUGGAGUCUGACCCUCCAGGGGCAUUUUUGAGGAAGACGGGGAUUGGGGUGGGAGUGCGGGGGGGAGGGUCUCCCUCCUGUGAACCACUGGUCACUUUACUGGCGUCUGCCUUAUAAAUGGGGUGGGGUUGUCAGGGGCAAAAACUGACCCCCAUCACGUCUUUGGUGCAGUUUUGGGGUCCCGAGUGGGAGGAGUGGGAGCUGUGACCUUGGGGGGAGGGGAGGGCUCAGGGAGGGUUAAAGGACAGCCCUGAGGGUCUUCCCAGGAGGGGGUGAUUCCUCUCCGUGGUGUCAGGGCCCAGCACUCACCAAAGAGCCACCCCCAUCGCCUCCCUGUCCUUUUAUGGGAGCGUCUGAUGCCCAAAAUAGGGCUGUGAUCCCUGCCACAGACACCCGUGGGUCCAAGCGGGAGAUGCCGAAGGCGUGUGUGCAGUGCUGGGGUGUCAUAAUGCCCCUUCCAACAGCACCUGCCUCGCCCCGACCUGGUUGGGCUCAGCUGGCAGCCCCCCACGCCUGUGACGCGUGGCCAUAAACAUGGGUGAACCAAGGUGCUGCUGUCUCUGGAAUCAGGAUUUCUGAAACCACCUUCGGCAGGGCCACGGAGCAGCGUCUAGCUCUCUGAUGGUCCCAGGUCACUGCUGGACCCUGGGUCUCACACUUGACUGUGACCCCCCCCCCAACCCCAGUCCCCAGCAGCAGGGGCUUCCCCGACUGAACCACGGAUGCCCGGCUCGGGGAUUGGAGAAGGCUUCACGGGUCUCUGCUGAGUCAAAUCCAACUUAAAAAGGUGACUAUCUUUGCCUCUUUAAAAACAUAUAUUUUUUUCAUUUAAAAAAUGUGCCACUUUCCCCAAGCCCUUGGGAUACAGUGACAGCCCCUUCAGUGCCCUCACUACCCUGUGUCUGUGCUGAGGCCCUGUGCGGCCCCACACCCUGCCUCCUGCCCCGUCCUGGUGAGGUGUCCCCUCUGGGAAGCCCCAUCGGACACUCGGCCUGGGGGUCCCUCCACCAGCUCUCAGGGCCCCUGUGCCUUCCUGCGGAGCAGCUGACCCUUGGUGUGGAACCUGCUGGUCACCAGGGGUGGGUGGUAGCUUGGGUGCAGCACUGGUUGGUGGCCAGCACCUGGUGCCCUGGGAUUUGGGGAGAAGCCCCCUGCCCACAGAGCACACUGGUCCUGGCUCAAUCGUUUGUUGGAUACACAGGAAAGGUCUCCAGGUAGGGAGGGAGGGGCUGCUCCCCAUGCAGUGUAAAUUCUUCUUCCCUUCUCUUCCAUGUGAAAGUGUCUGUUUCUGGCUUCUGGCCUGAGGCUGCACUUCCCAGCCAGUCAGAAGGGCCAUCCUGCAGGCUGCAACCGUUUAUGAGCAAUAAAGCUCUCCUUUCCAAAU